UGCAGGUAACUAUGCCAUGUGACUACAUACUGGCCAAUAGGAUGUGGGUGUUAGUGAUGUGGUCCACUUCUAAAUCGUGCCCUCAAAGGCCUAAGCAGUUCUGGGCAGGGGGACAGUGUCUCCGGAAAGUAACUCCCAGACCCCUGCCGAGGGGGCGGGGCAGUCACCUGGCUACAUCGGCGGGCAGAGGGGAUCGAGAACCUUCCACCAGCCUCCAGUCGAGGUUCCUGUGCUCAUCCCCUCCUGUUCCUUCACCCUCAGGAGCAUCUGGCACCACCAUGAAAUUUUUUAAAAUGGUUAGUUCUGCCGAUCAAGGACCCUGUAUAAAUGGAAUUAUACAGCAUGCAUUCUUUGCUGUCUGGCUUCGGUUUUUUGCGGGGUUUUUUUGGCGGUGAGAAAGGCCUGAGU
ensembl:lncRNA